AAAAUUUUGAAUUUUGAACUGAGCUUUAAUUUUAUUAAAAAAAAUUAUUUAUUAUCUUACAAUAUUAAAAGGGCUUAAGCUCAACUCCUAGCGUGACCACAUCAUUUUAAAAACCACCAAUGAGAAUAUUGUGUUUUCACCACGACAUUCGCUCUUUUAUGGUGGCCUGUUAAUAAUUGGUGUUGGCCCAGUAACCCAAAUCACCUCCCUCAUGACUGUCUAUAUCCUUUUCGCCCCUUUCACUUUCCCAUCUUCGAAAGAACUGCAAUGCCUCGGAACGAUGGAGAUCAUCGCAACCGAUAAGUUUACACCGUGGCCACAUCCAUGCUUACGGCGAUCGUUAACUUAUGGUCAAAGCUGGGUUUCUUGCAUUCUUUCCGAAGACGUGAAGAUCUAUGUUGCGUCGUUGGUGUUAACAAUAAUGUUUCCAUGCGCUGACGUCUGUUCUAUACAUGAUUAGAGGUCCAAGCCUCUUUCUCUCUUCCCCAACCUUCACGCUGUCUUCCUCUCCUGUGGUCCCAGUGGCGGCUCUGCUACUGCCUUUCCCGGCGCCGAUGGGAAAUCUCCUUUAUGGGGAUCGAAGAACGCGAUGCAGUUCUCUCCGGUCUCGUAGACUGAUUAAGAGCAGCGAUGUAGUGAAUACGGGUUCAUGGGUUUCGACCUUGGUUCUGGAUCCGACCCGGUUAUCCAAUCGACGUUUUGUCUCAAGAUGAUAUAUGGUUAUUUUCCUGUCAUUAAACACAACGUGAAGAUGAAGACAUCUCAAAGAUCCAUCAUGAAUUUGUGCGGACGAAACAUAUGCCUAAGAUGAAUCCUCAAAGUUUGCCACUGACUUUAACAAAAAAAGGGUUUAUUAGGUUCUUUGAUUCUCAAUAUUGAUUUAGUCGAUUCAUACUUUUAGCUAUAUAUGUUAAUAAGAAUCUCAGAUUGGAUGCAUAUAAGUUUACUGAUUUGAUUGUGUUUACCCAUUGGCACAUUAUAUUGCCCCUCUUACUUGCCCAGUUAGACAUUUCCAAGAAGCACAUGGUUAAUGAGGUUAUCUAUAUGACUUUUUGCUUUGUUGUUCAUGUUUUUACAGACUUGUGUAUUUCUUGAGAAGUAUAUGAGCUCUAGUCUUGCAGUUUUGAUAUAGUUUUUGUGCAGACAACUAUUUUGGUUGUCGUAAGGUAUUGGUAAGCAAGAAAAUUUCUUUCUGAAUUGCAGCUUUGUGAUAAAUGAUUUGAUCUCUUCGCCAUUUAUAUGAUUUUGCAGCUUAGUAGUAUGGAGAACAAAAAAUAUGUAUACAUGUGUCAUGAUCAAAUGAGAGGUCUGGUGUGAUUGAUGGACUUCUUAUGUUUCAGCAAUGUCAGUUUACAUACAUUUAAGCAAUUUGGGCAGAGAAAAAUUAGAGACAUAGAUGGAUUUUAAUCCUACAAUUCAAAAAACAUCCAGCACAUAUCUAUGUACUUGCAAGCCAACUUCCCCUAGAAAAUUAGAACGUUUCUUAAAGUUUGUCGAUGGUGAUAAUCAUGAAUUUAGGUUGCUCUCUUAAAAUGGGUUUCCAUCGUCUAGCCUAUACAUAUUUUUUUCAUUCCAAGAGAUGUGUAUUAUAUAUCAUAUUUUGGUAUGGUGCAAAUUUUCUGAUGAAGGCAAGCCGCACCAAGAGUUUGUGAAGAGUCUAUGCUCAUACAAAGACAUAUUUGAGCUUAGAAACCGAGUCGAAGCAUUUGCUUUGCAGUAUGAGAUGCAUGCUUCUAGCUAUCAGAGAGAUUGUAUACUUGCUGAACCAAGCAACAUCCGUAUUACACACUUUACAGAGGACUUCUGACUUCUAAGUUUUGAGUAUGAUCACCAUUGAGUCAAACAGUUGCCUCUUUUGAGUCACUCUCAGACUGGACGCUUGACAGUGCUUCCGGCUAUUACUACAACCAGACCAAUGGUCUGCACUAUAAAUUAGAUUCUCGAUUCAAUUAUAGUGACUCGAUUGUUAAAGAAAACGUGGCACUAGGCAACCAAGUGAAGUGCGCCUAGGAUGGUUGGUAAUCUGCUUUAUGGAGUAAGUCCAGUGUCAGCUACACUCUCUGCUGGGAGACGAGAGCUAUAUGCUCUGUUUGUUGAAGAAACUUUGGAUUUAAGAAGUAUCCAUAGGUAAAAGGAAGCCAUGAAAAGUUUCGAGAAAGUCAUCAAAUUCUCUGAAAAACUCGAGUAAACUUUGAAGCAUGAUCUUAACAUGGUUGCUGAUAAGAGAUACAUUGUUUGAGUAUGGUUCUGAUUUCAGUCUGAUGGAAAAUGAACAAGAAGGAAAUGGAUUGACUAGGAGUCUAGGAGAUUCAUCAAGGAGGGAUAUCUUUUUAGUGGCGCAAGAUCAAGAAAUCUGCUUCGGGGAUGUUUCAUAACCGAUGGAAACUUUUAAUGCAAUGCGUGUGCAAGAGUGACAGAGUGAGAGUACAUUUUGGAUUCUAUGCAAUGCAUGUGUAUGAAUGAGAGUACCUUUGUAUAUAUUUUAAAUUCCCACUACUCUAUUUCAUACUUCCUUAGAAUCUAUGGUGAGAGCCAAAUUUUCUUUCA